CGCCCAUUCCCUCGAGUCCUCAGCUCUGGUGAAAUGAAGCUGCUUUUUAAUCUUACGCUGGCUCUUCUUUGGUUGUCAAUCACGGCGACAAGAAAACAGGCUCAGGCAGGAGGGCGUCGAGGCUGCUGUGCAUCUUACUCCAAAGUCCGUGCUGUGAGCUCCAUCCUAAAAAGAGGAGGGCCGGUGCAGUGCUGGAAGCAGGAGAUCACAGAACUCUGUAACAUCAACGCAGUUGUACUCAAGUGGAAACACCAGCAAAUAUGCGUGGAUCCAAACCAUCGCAGGACACGGAGCCUUCUUGCAAGUUUAUGCAACAGAAAACUUCAGAAUGGAAGAAGAAAGCUCAGGCGCCUACAAAUAAGGAAACCCGACAUCCAAACAUACUGACAACCAUCGUUUGUCACAGUUAAUACAUGUUAAGAGUCAUUCUCUCCUGGAAACAGACUCUCAAAGCACGAACAGCUCAUUAUUUGUAAACGGGAAACCUGUGAUUAAUUUAAAGGUUGGUACAAAACCUAUUCUUUGGCAGGAUAUUUUAUCUUUAAUGAGUAAUUGUAGUCCCAUAUUUACUUUUCAGCUUCGGCUCAGUUUGUAAAAUGCCUGUAAAUACCAGCAGCUGCCUUCAGUGUCAAUUGCUGCUUGCUGCAGCUACUUCAGCUCCACUAUUUACAUCACAGGUGUGGGACAAAGAGACAUGGACUGUAACACAAUAGGCUUUGGCAAAACUAUUUACCCUUCAAGAUUUAUGUGCCUUCGGGCAACAUGGCAUAAUGUUGGAGAUAUCAUUAGCAAGAGUCUUAUGAGCUGAUUGAAAGAUAUCUCUGAAGAUAAAGGAACAUCUCUGGUACUACAAGAGCCAAUAACACUGCGGCUGUAAAGCAGAAUUUCAGUAACUUAAUCCCCUAUUGCGCAAAUGCAUGCCACAGGCCUGACAAUGACACGUGUUGCUGCCAACUGGGGAAGUUGAUAAGUUAACAGUGCAGCGCAAGAAGUAGCAAAAGUGGGGAAAUAACGAAGAGGAAAGGGAGUAAGUUGGUGAAAACGAUAAAGAUUUAUUGUGUUGAAAAUACCUUUGCUUUUGCUGGCCUUCUCGCUAAGAGUUUCACGAGAGUCAAUAUCACUCUCAUAUCUGUCCGAUACAUUUAAGGCUUAGCACAGUGAUUAACAGUAGAGGAGUACCUGGACGAAUGGGGAAAUAGCAACGCCAGGCUCUGCCAACAUGUAAUAUAAUCCAGCUCAUUACCUUAUUGGUGAUUAUGGCAAUUUUUAAUAUAAUGUCUUGUUCAUUUUUUUUUCGACAUCUAUUAUCACACUGGCAUGUGAAACAACCCACUUAAACAACUACUUCAUAUGCCACUGGAAUGCUAGACUGGCAAAGUUUAUCCAAGUUUAAUUUAAUACAAAUGGCUGGAUGUCAUGAAGCAUCACGGAAGACUGGUGCCUCCUUACGAACUGAACUCUCCAUCCUGCUUGCCAAUAUGGAUCUGUCCACCUUGUCUGGUCACUACAGUACAAAACGAAUGGUAUCAGCAGAUAGUUAAUGUUUAAAUGACUCAGAUUGGAUCUGGGGGACAAACAACUUGAUUGGGCCAGCCCUAAUUCUAAUAGGAUUGGUUUAAGAUAAACAUAAACUAAGAUGCAAAAAUAGUGGUAGUGGGCUAUUUGGUGUUCUUGGCCAAGACACAGCAACAAUUAUUUACACAUUUUAACACAGUUAAUAUCUGGACAAACAUAAUCUGUGAGUUUUAGCAGUGCUGAUGGAUGGAUUGUGUUACCAUCAGACAGCCAGUUUAGCUGUUUUCCAUCGGUUCUGAUCCUUUUGCUUUUGAGCUAUGUGUCUCAAAUGUGUGUGGUUUUAUUGAAAAUGUAUAGGUUUACAUUUUAAGUAUCUUACUUCUCAUAAUCAAAUACAAAAAGUCUUAUAUUUUC